GACCGCGGUUAGACGAGCGGCUCAAGCUGAUAGCCCCCGGCGUAAAGCGUGGUUAAGGGAUAAAAUAAACUAAAGCCGAAUGCCCUCAAAGCUGUUAUACGCACCCGAAGGUAUGAAGUACCACCACGAAAGUGGCUUUAACCCUCCCCCUGACCCCACGAAAGCUACGCAA
rnacentral:rRNA from 1 species